rnacentral:rRNA from 1 species
ACGGUCCUAAGGUAGCGAAAUUCCUUGUCGGGUAAGUUCCGACCCGCACGAAAGGUGUAACGAUUUGGGCACUGUCUCAACGAGGGACCCGGUGAAAUUGAAAUACCUGUGAAGAUGCAGGUUACCCGCGACUGGACAGAAAGACCCCAUGGAGCUUCACUGCAGCUUGAGAUUGAAUCUCGGUGAUGCAUGCACAGGAUAGGUGGGAGACUUUGAAGUAUGGGCUUUGGCUUAUACUGAGUCGAUGUUGGGAUACCACCCUUGUAUUGCUGAGAUUCUAACACGGAGGCUAACAACCUCGUGGACCAUCUCAGGUAGGCGGUUUGACUGGGGCGGUCGCCUCCGAAAGAGUAACGGAGGCGCCCAAAGGUUCCCUCAGGUCGGACAGAAACCGACCGAAGAGUGCAAAGGCAGAAGGGAGCUUGACUGCGAGACAGACAAGUCGAGCAGAGACGAAAGUCGGGCUUAGUGAUCCGGUGGUACUGAGUGGAAAGGCCAUCGCUCAACGGAUAAAAGCUACCCUGGGGAUAACAGGCUAAUCUCUCCCAAGAGUCCAUAUCGACGGGGAGGUUUGGCACCUCGAUGUCGGCUCAUCACAUCCUGGGGCUGAAGUCGGUCCCAAGGGUUGGGCUGUUCGCCCAUUAAAGUGGUACGUGAGCUGGGUUCAGAACGUCGUGAGACAGUUCGGUCCCUAUCCAUCGCGGGCGCAAGAGAUUUGAAGGGGGCUGCUCCUAGUACGAGAGGACCGGAGUGGACGAACCAAUGGUGUACCAAUUAUCUCGCCAGAGGUAUAGUUGGGUAGCUACGUUCGGAAAGGAUAAACGCUGAAAGCAUCUAAGCGUGAAACCAGCCUUAAGAUGAGAUCUCUCAUAGAGUAAUCUAGUAAGACACCUUGGAGAAGACGAGGUUGAUAGGUCGGGAGUGUAAGUACAGUAAUGUAUUCAGCGGACCGAUACUAAUAUGUCGAGGGCUUGACUUA